AUGUACAACUCGUACACUGCCAUUCCUGUGCGCCAUCCUCGUGGCUGGCGACUCCACUACGUUUUGUGAGCC
rnacentral:sRNA from 1 species